rnacentral:rRNA from 1 species
UACGUAGGGGGCUAGCGUUGUCCGGAAUCAUUGGGCGUAAAGAGCGUGUAGGCGGCUUUACAGGUCCGUUGUGAAAACUCGAGGCUCAACCUCGAGACGCCGGUGGAAACCGUAAAGCUAGAGUCCGGAAGAGGAGAGUGGAAUUCCCAGUGUAGAGGUGAAAUUCGUAGAUAUUGGGAAGAACACCGGUGGCGAAGGCGGCUCUCUGGACCGAGACUGACGCUGAGGCGCGAAAGCGUGGGGAGCAAACAGG